rnacentral:rRNA from 1 species
AGAAAUCUCACCAGGCCCGGACACUGGAAGGAUUGACAGAUUGAUAGCUCUUCCUUGAUUCGGUGGGUGGUGGUGCAUGGCCGUUCUUAUUGGUUGAGUGAUUUGUCUGGUUAAUUCCGUUAACGAACGAGACCUUAACCUGCUAAAUAGUGACGCGGUUCAUCGAACCGUGGGCCACUUCUUAGAGGGACUAUCGGAUUCAAACCGAUGGAAGUGUGAGGCAAUAA